GCGAUUGGGACAGUUCAGCAAACGAAGCAGGAAAAGUGAAUACAGCUGUAAAAUCCCAAAGGAGCCUGGAAUAGACUCUCCUAUUUUGCCAUCAGCAGCUGUCAGAUCUCGUGGGGAAGGCUACACAUGGGUAGACGUGAAGUCCUCAGCUUACUGCAAGAUAUACAGAUUCCACAGAUACUGGAUUUGUUAGAAGACUUAUUUUUGAAGGUGUGAGACCCUGAAGCUGUUUCUUAACGCUGGAAUACAGUCAAUGCCAGCCGGCUCCAAGAUGGUCACUGCUGGUCAAGGCUGGGCCAAUCAGAAAUCAUAGUAAUGCCUCUAUGAUAAUAUUUUUAAGAAGAAAAAAGUUAUUGUGCAGAUAUAAUUUUGGCCAGAGAAGAGCAGGGUGAGAACAGGUGAAAGGAACCACUCUGCAGACACCAAGGUCAGUGGAGGAGGAGGAACAGGUGCUCCAGGCAUGGGAGCUGAGAUUCCUCUGCAGUCUGUGGUGAAGACCAUGGAGAAUAAGCUGCCCCUAUGCAGCCCAUGGAGGACCACAGGGAUGCAGAAAUCCACUUGCAGCCCAUGGAGGAGAUCCAUGGUGGAGCAGGUGGAUGCCUAAGGGGAGGCUGUGAACCUGUGGGAGACCUGUGCUGGAAUAGGCUCCUGGCAGGGACCUGCAGACCCAUGCAGAGGAGGGAGCAGGUUUCCUCGCAAGAUUUGUGACCCCAUGGAUGACCCACGCUGGCGCAGGCUGUUCCCAAAGGACUCAUGGAACAGUGACCCACAUUGCAGCAGUUUAUGGAGAACUCUAACUUGGGGGACGGAUUUACAGCAGAGGAGUUUGCGGAGCACUAUCUUCCAUGGGAGGGACCUCAUGCUGGAGACAGUGGAAAGACACCUCUCCCUGAGCAGCAGCAGAAACAACUUGUCAUCAGUUGGUGAUAAUUCCCAUUCCCCACCUCCCUGCACUGCUGGCAGGGGGGAGGAGGUAGAGCUGGGAAAAAC